AGGCUCCGCCCUCUCAGUCUCAUUCCACCAAUCACAGCAGAGUCUGCCUCCGGUGGAUAUAAACUCAUACAGCAGCUUCAGGAGUUUCAUUCUUGUGUCUGCUCUGUUUUUGGGAAGGCUCUGUUUGAGCACUCUCUGACACAGCACGAGGUUUAUCACUGGAGGAAGAACACAGCUACACCUUCAGAGUCUGUGGUUUCCUCUGCAGCCGUGUGUUCAGUCUUGUUCAGGAAUCUCUGAUCACACUCUGUCUGUUUUAUCACGCUUUGAAUCAUGAAUAACGUCACAGUGUCGUGUUCAGAGAUUCAGACUCCUGUGGGGUUUGUGUACGUGAUUCUGUCUGUUUUACUGAAUCACACCAAACAUCCAGACUGUGAUCAGAGCUGGUAUUCACAGGAUGAUCGUCUGAUAGCAGAUCCAUCAGAUCCUCAGAAACUGGUUGAUUCUGUUAUUUCCGUCUCUUCUGAUCGUCUCGUCACGUCUCAGUGUGUGAAUCUGAAUCAUGAGAUCAUCUGUCAUUCUACAAGAUUCAGACUGAAGACCAUGUUCAGAGUGAGGAAUGAGACGGAGCCCAUCAGUGGAUCGACACAAACCCCAAACUCAUAUCAGUUGUGGUGGCUAUUUGCACUUAUAUCAUUGCUCUUCUCAUCAUCAUCAUGAUCUGUUUCAUGCUGUGGAAAAGAAAGCUCAG
ensembl:lncRNA